UACGAAGGGGGCUAGCGUUGUUCGGAAUUACUGGGCGUAAAGGGCGCGUAGGCGGCGACCCAAGUCAGAUGUGAAAGUCCUGGGCUUAACCUGGGGACUGCAUUUGAUACUGGGUUGCUUGAAUUCGGGAGAGGAUAGCGGAAUUCCCAGUGUAGAGGUGAAAUUCGUAGAUAUUGGGAAGAACACCGGUGGCGAAGGCGGCUAUCUGGACCGACAUUGACGCUGAGGCGCGAAAAGCGUGGGGGAGCAAACAGG
rnacentral:rRNA from 1 species